GACGAACGCUGGCGGCGUGCUUAACACAUGCAAGUCGAACGGAAAGGCCCUGCUUUUGUUGGGUGCUCGAGUGGCGAACGGGUGAGUAACACGUGAGUAACCUGCCCUUGACUUUGGGAUAACUUCAGGAAACUGGGGCUAAUACCGGAUAGGAGCUCCUGCUGCAUGGUGGGGGAUGGAAAGUUUCGGCGGUUGGGGAUAGACUCGCGGCUUAUCAGCUUGUUGGGGGGGUAGUGGCUUACCAAGGCUUUGACGGAUAGCCGGCAUGGGAGGUGUGACGGCGCCCAGGGGCCUACGGGAGGGAGCAGACUGGAACGGGAGGCAGUGGUGGGGAAUAUUGCACAGCGGGCGCGCGCGUGAGACGGAGGCGCCGCGUGCGGGAUGACGUCUUUUUGGUUGUGAACCGCUUUGGCCUGUGACGAAGCGUGAGUGACGGUACCGGGUAAAGAAGCACCGGCUAACUACGUG
rnacentral:rRNA from 1 species